rnacentral:rRNA from 1 species
GACGAACGCUGGCGGCGUGCUUAACACAUGCAAGUCGAACGGUGAACGAGGGAGCUUGCUCCCUCCGGAUCAGUGGCGAACGGGUGAGUAACACGUGAGCAAUCUGCCCCGAACUCUGGGAUAAGCGUUGGAAACGACGUCUAAUACCGGAUACGACGCGGGAGGGCAUCCUCUCCGCGUGGAAAGAACUUCGGUUCGGGAUGAGCUCGCGGCCUAUCAGCUUGUUGGUGAGGUAACGGCUCACCAAGGCGACGACGGGUAGCCGGCCUGAGAGGGUGACCGGCCACACUGGGACUGAGACACGGCCCAGACUCCUACGGGAGGCAGCAGUGGGGAAUAUUGCACAAUGGGCGCAAGCCUGGUGCAGCAACGCCGCGUGAGGGACGACGGCCUUCGGGUUGUAAACCUCUUUUAGCAGGGAAGAAGCGAAAGUGACGGUACCUGCAGAAAAAGCACCGGCUAACUACGUG